AUGAGCACGGUGGACAAGAUGCUGAUCAAGGGGAUCCGGAGCUUCGACCCGGAGAACAAGAACGUCAUCACCUUCUUCAAGCCCCUCACCCUCAUCGUCGGCUCCAACGGAGCCGGCAAAACCACCAUCAUCGAGUGCCUGAAGCUGUCCUGCACCGGCGAGUUGCCCCCCAACUCCCGCUCCGGCCACACCUUCGUCCAUGACCCCAAGGUAGCAGGUGAAACCGAAACGAAAGGGCAGAUUAAGCUGCGGUUUAAGACAGCAGCAGGAAAGGAUGUGGUGUGCAUCCGCUCUUUCCAGCUUACCCAGAAGGCAUCAAAGAUGGAGUUUAAGGCAAUCGAGAGCGUCCUCCAGACUAUAAAUCCACACACGGGCGAGAAGGUUUGUCUCAGCUACAGAUGCGCUGAUAUGGAUAGGGAAAUUCCAGCCCUAAUGGGUGUUUCGAAGGCUAUAUUGGAGAAUGUUAUAUUUGUGCACCAAGACGAAUCCAAUUGGCCAUUACAGGACCCUUCAACACUUAAGAAAAAGUUUGACGACAUCUUUUCUGCUACCCGCUAUACCAAAGCUCUCGAAGUCAUAAAGAAACUUCACAAGGACCAAGCACAAGAAAUCAAGACUUUUAGGUUAAAGUUGGAGAACCUUCAGACUCUUAAAGAUCAAGCAUACAGGCUUCGUGACAGUAUUGCACAAGAUCAAGAGAAGUCAGACGCCUUAAAAACUCAAAUGGAGGACCUGAAAACAAACAUCCAAGCUGUGGAAAACAAAAUCCUUCGUACCGAAACAAGUAUGGUGGAUUUGAGGAAACUUCAGGAGCAAAUUAGCACCAAAGCAACUGCUAGAAGUACAUAUUUUACACUUCAGCAGCAACAGUAUGCUGCUCUUUCUGAGGAAAAUGAAGAUACUGAUGAGGAGCUGAAGGAGUGGCAAACAAAAUUUGAAGAAAAAAUUGCAUUACUGGAAACGAAAAUCGCUAAACUUGAAAGAGAGAUGAAUGAUGAAUAUGCAAAAAGCUCUCUGCUAUCUGAGACCAUCAAUGAUUCAACACGCGAAAUAGGAAAGCUCCAGGCAGAAGCUGAUGCUCACAUGUCCGUGAAGCAUGAAAGAGAUUCAGCCAUCAGAACGAUAUUCAAUAAACAUAAUCUCGGGCCAGUUCCUGAUGCUCCUUUUACCAAUGAUAUUGCCAUGAACCUUACAAACAGAACUAAAGCAAGACUAUCGAAUCUCGAGGACGAUUUGCAGGAAAAGAAGAAAACUAAUGAGACACAGUUAGAAUUUCUUUGGGGACGUUAUCUUAAAGUAAAUGCUCGCUACUCUGAAGUUGAUGGCCAGAUACAAUCUAAGAAGGAAUCUAAGAUAGGUGUUUUAAGGCGCAUAAAAGAUAAAGAGAAUGAGCGAGAUGCCGCAGAGACGGAGCUUUCAAGGCAUAAUCUGGCCCGUAUUGAUGAAAGAGAGCGGCAUCUGCAAAUUGAAGUUGAGAGGAAGACAAUUGCGCUGGGAGAAAGAGACUAUGAUUUGAUUAUAAGUCAGAAGCGCUCAGAGAUAUAUACCUUGGAUCACAAGAUAAAAGCACUUCACCGAGAGAAAGAUAACAUAGCAACUGAUGCUGAUGACAGAGUAAAAUUAGAACUCAAGAAGGAUGAGUUGGAGAAGUGCAAGAAGAAACUUAAAAAGAUAUAUGAUGAACAUAAGGAUAAAUUUAGAAGUGUCCUUAAGGGAAGGCUUCCUCAUGAGAAGGAUGUCAAGAAGGAGAUUACUCAAGCUUUCGGGUCUGUAGACUCAGAAUACAAUGAUUUGAACUCAAAAUCUCAGGAAGCGGAACAACAGUUGAAAUUGGCACAAAUGAAAAUUGAUGCUGCUAAAAGCCACUUGGCAAAGCUCCAAAAAGUUUUGGAUGCAAAAAGAAAGCAUCUGAACUCGAAACUUCAAUCCAUUGCUAAGGUAUCUGUUGACAUCAACGCUUACCCCAAGAUUCUGAAAGAUGCCAUGGACGAGAGAGAUAAACAGACAAAUAAUUUCAGUUAUGCUAAGGGAAUGCGGCAAAUGUAUGAACCUUUUGAAAAAGUGGCCCGACAGCAUCACAAGUGUCCUUGCUGUGAUCGUGCUUUCACACCUGAUGAAGAGGACCUCUUUGUAAAGAAGCAAAGGACAACAGGUACAAGUACCGCAGAGCGCUUGAAAGUGCUGGCAGAGAACUUAUCAGUUGCUGAAGACUUAUUCAAUCAAUUGGAUAAUCUCCGUGUGAUUUAUGAUGAAUAUGUGAAACUGGAGAAAGAGACUAUACCUUUAGCAGAGAAGGAUUUGGAACAACUUUCGGCAGAUAAAAGUGAGAAGGAACAGAUAUCUGAUGAUCUUGUGAGUGUUCUUGCUCAAGUUAAAAUGGACAGGGAUGGAGUGGAAGUCUUGUUACGUCCAGUUGAUACUAUCGACAGGCAUGUGCAAGAAAUACAGGAGUUAGAACCACAAGUCAAAGAUCUUGAAUAUAAGCUUGAUUCUCGUGGCCAAGGUGUUAAAUCUGUCGACGAAAUUCAGUUGGAGCUGAUCUCUGUGCAGAGGGCAAGGGACACAUUGACUGGUGAAGUAGACGAUCUCAGGGAUCAGCAAAAAAUGCUUAGCGAGGAUCUAUCAAAUGCUCAGAUGCGGUGGCAUGCUCUUAGGGAAGAAAAACUAAGAGCUUCAAGUGUAUUGCUGAAGUUCAAAAAGGCUGAAGAAGAUUUGGUACAUUUUGCCGAGGAAAAGGAGCAACUGAUCCUAGAUCAGAAGCAUUUAGAAGAAGCUCUUGUUCCAUUGUCAAAAGAGAGAGAAAGCUUGUUGCAAGAGUAUAAAGCUUUGAAGGAAAGGUUUGAUCAGGAGUAUGAUCAGCUGGCAGAAAGAAAAAGGGGAUUCCAGCAAGAAAUCGAUGUACUUGGAACCCUUAACACACGCAUCAAAGGGUACCUGGAUUCAAACAAAGUAGAGAAGCUUAAUGAGUUGCAGGAAAGGCAUACCCUAUCCCUGUCUCAGUUACAGAAAUGUGAGGCAAGAAAGCAAGACAUCUCGGUUGAGCUUGACAAGAGCAAACAGCUAUUACGGAGCCAAGAUCAAUUGAAAAGAAACAUUGAUGACAAUCUGAACUACAGGAAAACAAAGGCUGAAGUGGAUCGACUUACUCAUGAUAUCGAGUUACUUGAAGAUAAUGUGCUUUCCAUUGGCAGCAUGUCUACUAUAGAAGCUGAUCUUAAGCGGCAUGCUCAAGAAAAGGAGAGGCUUCUUUCAGAGUAUAAUAGGUGUCAAGGAACAAUUUCUGUUUACCAAAGUAAUAUUUCAAAGCACAAACUUGAGCUUAAACAGACACAAUACAAGGAUAUUGAGAAGAGAUAUUUUAACCAACUUCUUCAACUAAAGACAACUGAGAUGGCAAAUAAGGACUUGGACCGAUACUAUGCUGCUUUGGACAAGGCUCUUAUGCGGUUCCAUACCAUGAAAAUGGAGGAGAUAAAUAAGAUAAUUAAGGAAUUGUGGCAGCAGACAUACAGAGGCCAAGAUAUUGAUUGCAUAAGCAUCAAUUCUGAUUCUGAGGGUGCAGGCACUCGAUCAUAUAGCUACCGUGUUGUCAUGCAAAAUGGUGGUGCUGAGCUGGAAAUGCGGGGGCGAUGCAGUGCUGGUCAGAAGGUGCUUGCUUCUCUUAUAAUCAGACUCGCACUGGCAGAGACAUUCUGUCUGAAUUGUGGCAUAUUAGCUCUGGAUGAGCCAACCACCAAUCUUGAUGGACCAAAUGCUGAGAGCCUAGCUGCUGCCCUAUUGAGAAUAAUGGAGAGUAGGAAAGGCCAGGAGAACUUCCAGCUUAUUAUAAUCACCCAUGAUGAGCGGUUUGCUCAGCUUAUCGGUCAGAGGCAGCUUGCUGAGAAGUAUUACCGAAUCUCCAAGGAUGAGCAGCAACACAGCAAAAUAGAAGCCCAAGAGAUAUUUGACUAA
rnacentral:rRNA from 1 species